GCUUUGAUACCUGAGCUGAUGUCAUAUGAUAUGGAAUAUCCCUUUGGUCAGUUUGGGUCAGCUUUGGCCUGCUUGGGUCCCUUCCUAGGAUCUUGCCCUUGAUUGAGGAAGGAAUGUUACAGUGCUGAUGCUGUGCUGAGCAGUAGCCAAAACACUGAAGGACUCCAUGUAAGCACGAUUUCUGAUGUCUCCUUAAUGAAGAGACCAGUCAUUGCUGAAGAUAUUGAAGAUUAGAAGAAGAGACAUCACAGAGAUUUCAUUUAUUCCAGU